CAUAGUCUAUGAAGCUGUUCCAAGAGCUCAGCUCCUAUAUGGAAUGAGGCUCUUCAGACAGGGCAGCUCUCAUACCCUGCCAUAUGGAUCUCAUCCCCUUGCACCUGAGCCAUCUGAUGUGUGGCUGCAAGACUUGGACUGAAAAGAAAGGCCCAGGGUACCCUGCUGGCCAAGCUCUGAUUCCUGUCUUUAUAUUCUACUGACAGAUUGGUCUCAUGUAAGAUCUAUCAUAACGCGCUUUAUGGAUGAAGACACAGGGACAAGUCCCUCCCACCCUUCCCCCUUGUCCUCCUUCCUGGAUGCAGCAAUGCGGGGUCAUCCCACGGACAUCUCUGUAUAUACUGGCAUGAAGUUUAGCAUAUGAGAUACAUAAGAUUCUCCCAAAACAGAAGAAGAAAUUCUGAUCUUCAGUACAUAUGAUCAGUGCUAACACCUUUUAUGUGAUCGCCCUGAAGAAGCUGGAUGGCCCCCUCGACACACAAUUUUGUUUGGAUGUAAAGACCGAUCUCACCACAGACACACACACACACACACACACACACACACACACACACACACACACACAUCAUGGGGUAUGAACAUGUUUUGUUUGUUGUUGUUUGUUUGUUUGUUUGUUUUUCUUUUUCACCUUGGAAAUCAAUAUGGCCAUUUCUUACAGAACAAAACAUACACACACUUGCCAUUUGACUCAGCAAUUGUCCUAUUGGGUCUUUAUCCCAAUAAAAUGAACACUGGUGUUCACACACAUUCUUGUACACAAGUGUCCACAGAAGCUCUCAUCAUAACAGGCAAAAACCUGAAAGUAAGCAGAUGUCCUUCCAUGGGCGAAUGGGUGAACCAGCGGCUGUGCCUCCACAGUAUGGAGCACCACUCUGCUCUCGAUACAAAAGGACAAGCCAGUGAUCCACUCAACAACCUGGAUGGAUCUCAAAAGACUUACUCUGAGAGAAGAGUCCGAAGGAGAAGCAGACCCCCACACACAUCCACUGAGCGGGGAGCCCGAUGCGGGGCUCGAUCCCAGGACCCCUGGAUCAUGACCUGAGUCGAAGGCAGACGCUUAACCGACUGAGCCACCCAGGCGCCCCUGCACAAUCCCUUUUAUAUAACAUUCUUACAUGAUAGAGUUGAUGAGAUGGAGAGGUGGCCAGUGGCUGUCAAGGCUGUCCCCCCUGGGGACGAGGUAACCAGGGACUAUGCGUGUGGUUAUAAAUGAACAGCCCAAGCCCUGUGGUGGUGGUGGUAGGGCGGCUCCUUAUGUGGGUAGGUUACAGGGACCCACAUGUGUGCUAUAACUUCACAGAACCACACAUACGCACGCACGCACACACACACACACACACACAGGGGCACGUGCAACAAGUCAUGCCUGAAUAAGCCCUGGAGACUGCACGUAUUGGUCACUCGCACACAGAGACUUUCUCAGCAGGUGCAACACUGGUUUAUGAAAGCUGCGAGGAGCAGAGCAGCUUUGGUAUUUCUUGAUGGCUGGGAUGGGACCGCAGAGCAUCCCACACAAGGACAGGGCUUGAGCACCACCGCAGGGAGCCUGGGGCUUCCCCUUCAGUUUGCCUGGAUCUCCAGCUGAAGCGGACGAAGCAGACACAGGACGGGUGGGCCUGAACGUCACAGAUGGUCAAAUGUCAGGGAUUCCAUGUCUUCGGUAGGAUUUCCCAUCCUCAUUGUCAGAACCCACUAAACCAGAAUUCCAGAGGACAGCUUCUCUUCACUGUGUGUGAUAAGAGUUUUGUGGGCUUCUUUCCUUUCCAUUACCUCAUGGAGAUAAGGAGCUCAUUAGUGGUUCUCCCCUCCCUUGUGACUUCAGAGGGCCAAGGGAUCGCUUGAAUCACCCAGUGUUUUUUCUAGAAUCUAAAGACAGAAUUUAA